rnacentral:precursor_RNA from 1 species
UGUUUGGACCAGGCGCAUGGUUGGCUGCAUUUGGUCGAUUGGGCACCAAAUUUCCAGUGAUACCAACAAAGUUAGUCAGAUUGUCUGGACCCUUGU